rnacentral:rRNA from 1 species
UGACGCUGGCGGCAGGCUUACACAUGCAAUUUAAGCGGGGGAAGGUAGCUUGCCUACUGGACCUUAGCGGCGGACGGGUGAGUAAUGCUUAGGAAUCUGCCUAUUAGUGGGGGACAACAUCUCGAAAGGGAUGCUAAUACCGCAUACGUCCUACGGGAGAAAGCAGGGGAUCUUCGGACCUUGCGCUAAUAGAUGAGCCUAAGUCGGAUUAGCUAGUUGGUGGGGUAAAGGCCUACCAAGGCGACGAUCUGUAGCGGGUCUGAGAGGAUGAUCCGCCACACUGGGACUGAGACACGGCCCAGACUCCUACGGGAGGCAGCAGUGGGGAAUAUUGGACAAUGGGCGCAAGCCUGAUCCAGCCAUGCCGCGUGUGUGAAGAAGGCCUUAUGGUUGUAAAGCACUUUAAGCGAGGAGGAGGCUACUUUAGAUAAUACCUAGAGAUAGUGGACGUUACUCGCAGAAUAAGCACCGGCUAACUCUGUGCCAGCAGCCGACGGUAAUACAGAGGGUGCAAGCGUUAAUCGGAUUUACUGGGCGUAAAGACGCGCGUAGGCGGCUAAUUAAGUCACAAUGUGAAAUACCCCGAGCUUAACUUGGGAACUUGCAUUCGAUAACUGGUUAGCUAGAGUGUGGGAGAGGAUGGUAGAAUUCCAGGUGUAGCGGUGAAAAUGCGUAAAGAUCUGGAGGAAUACCGAUGGCGAAAGCAGCAUUCUGGCCUAAACACUGACGCUGAGGUGCCAAA